GGAGUUUGGGCCGUAUCUCAGUCCCAAUGUGGCCGUUCACCCUCUCAGGCCGGCUACUGAUCGUCGCCUUGGUAGGCCGUUACCCUACCAACUAGCUAAUCAGACGCGGGUCCAUCUUAUACCGAUAAAUCUUUUCACACUCUAUCAUGCGAUAAUGUGCGCUUAUGCGGUAUUAGCAGUCAUUUCUAACUGUUAUCCCCCUGUAUAAGGCAGGUUACCCACGCGUUACUCACCCGUCCGCCACUAAGUCAUAAAUCUCUUCAUCCCGAAGGAAUCUAAGAUAAAUGCUUCGUUCGACUUGCAUGUGUUAGGCACGCCGCCAGCGUUCAUACCUGAGCCAGGAUCAAACUACU
rnacentral:rRNA from 1 species